AUUGAACGCUGGCGGCAGGCCUAACACAUGCAAGUCGAGCGAGCGGCGGACGGGUGAGUAAUGUAUGGGGACUGCCCGAUAGAGGGGGAUAACUACUGGAAAAGGUGGCUAAUACCGCAUACUAUCGGAUAACCCAUAUGGGAUUAGCUAGUAGGUGGGGUAAAGGCUCACGAAGGCGACGAUCUCUAGAUGGUCUGAGAGGAUGAGCGGCCACAAUGGGACUGGGACACGGCCCAGACUCCUACGGAGGCAGCAGUGGGGAAUAUGGCACAAUGGGCGCAAGCCGGAUGCAGCCGUGCCGGGUGUAUGAAGAAGGCCUUAGGGUUGUAAAGUACGUUCAUCGGGGAGGCGUUACCCGCAGAAGAAGCACCGGCUAACUCCGUGCCAGCAGCCGCGGUAAUUC
rnacentral:rRNA from 1 species